CUUAUGUCAAAAUUUUUAAGAGUUUAUGAUUUUGUUUAUUUAUUCUUCAAACAAAAUAUAGAAAAAAAGAUAACAAUGUCUAUUUUAAUUCUCAAUAAAAAGAGCAUUCUUUAAACUUACGCCAGCAAAUAUGUUUCACAAGGCCGAAGAUUCGAAAGGAAACUUUUUAGAGCAAACCAAAGCUGCAAGGGAAGAAAGGGCAUUAGAAAAACGACGUGAAAGUGCUAUAAUUCUUAUUCAGGCUAAUGUUCGUGGCUGGUUGACUAGAAUAAAGUUUUCUAAGGAGAUCUUAAUCCAUUCUUUUAGAGAUGAAUUUGAUAGCGUUAUACCAGAUUUAUCAGAGAAAUAUUCAAAGCAGCAUUUGAAACCAGCACUUGAUAUUUACCGUCAAAGUAUUAGAUUAUUAUUAAUAUGGAGCAAGAAAAGAGAUGCAGAACGCUUUGCCAAAUUAUGUCGCUAUUUGGUGGCAUCACUUGAUUCAGAUUCCCCCAAAUAUAGUUAUGUUGGUGUAGCUUUAAAUAAGGAACAUGUGAUAAAAUGGAUCUCUCAUAUGAAUAAUUUGUUAUGGAAGUGCUGUGAGUACUUAGAAGAGUUAAAACUAGAACUUGCUGCUGAUAUGAAAACGAUAGUGUUAUAUUUACGUGUACUGGUUUCAUUUACAAGUACAAAUACAUGGGUUGUUCUGAAGAAUAAAAAUAUGGAAGUGUUGAAAAGUGGCAUGAAUCAGUUAUGUGCCAAUCUUAUGGGUCAAUUGUUUCACAAAGGAUUUUAUAUUACAUUAAAAACUCUACUUAUUAAGGGUUUAGGAAGAAUAAAAAUCGCUUUUAAAACAGUUUCAAUUUCUGCAAUUUUUACUCUUGCAAUGAGACCAUUGGUAUCAGCAAAUUUUUCAGACAAGUUCAUGACUAUAUUUUUAAUAAAUAUUCUGUCUGUGCCAGGACUAAUUUAUCAUUUAGAAAUCCUUUCUCCAGAGUCCAUAUCUACUAUUCAACAAUAUAAAUUAUUUACAAGAAGUUUAGAGAUACUUUCUAGUCAACAGUCAAUGAGAAUAGUGUUUAAUAUUUUAGAAGGAAGUUAUGCUUUGUGUCUUUUAGCAAAUCUAAUUCAAAUGGCAUAUCUUGAAAGGAAGACUACAUUAAAAGACUUGUGUUUUCCAACAUUUACUGUUGUUGUUACAGGCUUAUUAGAGAGCUGUCAAAAUUAUGUUGUUAGUAAAAAGUCAACUUUAACACAUUGGCAUCCAGUUUUGGGCUGGUUUGCUCAACCACAAGACCCUGCUUUACAUGAUGCCAUACCGCACAUCAAGAUACAACUUCAUUUAUUAUGGAAUAUUGAGCUAAUGCAAAUUCUUUUGGGUAAUUUUUUAUCUGAACUAGUUCAAGGAGUUGAACCGCCACAUCAAUUCAGCCCAACACAAAAUCCACACUUUGGUGGUAGUAGUUUUUUUAAAAAAAUGUUAGAAAAUCGAAGUAACAAAACUUCUACACAAAAGACAUAUAGAGCAUUAGGAAGUCCAGAAGUACACAGAGUUGUACUUAUUUGUUCUUUGUAUCAUACAGCUUUACGUACUUUGACUCAAUUACAAUUAGAUAUUUUAACAGGGUUAUGCUAUCAGAAUUCUAUUUUAUAUGACUUGUGGCUGUUUCUUUCCUCUUUGGGGCCAAAUUGUGGUCUUAAAACAUUUUUGGAUCAUCUAGCGUUUAACACCAAGUGUUCAGCACCAGAAUUUCAAAUGUUACAGCUUUUUGCUGAUUGUAUGACUCAUUAUGUUACGUUAUUAGAUGAUAUGGAAAUGUAUGAAAAACAGUCGCCUUUUCAUUUAUCUGAUUUUGUAGCUAUGUCUAAUUUUUUAAACAUAUUUUUAUAUAAAGCAGUCCUAGGAAAUUUGUUUGAUAUUAAGACUAUUCAAAAUAAUACACUAUUUCAAUCUUUACAUACACUCUUAAUGGUUUUAUACAAAAGGGACUGUUGGCAUAGUUAUACUCCACCAGGUCACUGGCUAAUUAAAGAUAUCAAAGUAUCUUCUUUUCUGAUUGAUCUUGAAAAAGGCAAACGUGCUCCACAGUUAUUAUUACAAACAAUGCCACAUAUCAUACCUCACGAAGACCGAGUAAGACUAUUUAGGAAAUAUAUUGCCAACGAAAAGACUGUUUUAGGACUAACUGAGUCAGCUUGUGCUUCUCCACAAUCCACAUUAAUAACAGUUCACAGAAACCGAAUUGUUGAAGAUGGUUAUCGUCAAUUGGCGGAUUUACCGCCACAAGCUUUAAAGGGAGUGAUAAGAGUUAGAUUUAUCAACGAAUAUGGUUUGGAUGAGGCUGGGAUAGACCAGGAUGGUGUGUUUAAAGAAUUCUUAGAAGAAAGUAUUAAAAAAGUGUUUGAUCCGGCUCUGAAUCUGUUCAAAGCGACAAGUGAAGAACGGCUGUAUCCAUCAUCUAUUUCUCAUUUGCAAGAUAACCAUCUACAAUUGUUUGAAUUUACAGGACGUAUGUUGGGAAAGGCUAUUUAUGAGGGUAUAGUAGUAGAUGUGCCUUUUGCUUCAUUCUUUCUCAGUCAGGUGUCUGGUCAAACAGCUCAAGCUAUGUACAGCUGUGUGGAUGAACUUCCGUCUUUAGAUCCUGCUUUGUACAGAAGUUUGAGUUAUGUGAAGCAUUAUGAAGAAGAUGUUUCUGAACUGAAUUUAACUUUUAGUGUAGAUGAAGAUCACAUGGGUAAAGUUAUAACUUACGAACUGAUACCUGGAGGCAAGGCAGAACCAGUGACAAAAGAUAAUAUUUCGUAACUAGUUGUUCCAAACCACCACUAUUGGGAUUUGCACAUUUGGAACCACCAUUUUCCAUUAGAUGCGUUGAAGUAGGUGAUGAUGAAGAUACCGGUGAUACUAUUGGGAGUGUAUUUAGAGGAUUCUUUACUAUAAGAAAAAAAGAUCCACAAAAUCGCCUACCCACUUCGUCUACAUGUUUUAAUCUAUUGAAACUGCCAAACUAUCAAAAGAAAAGUACCCUGCGCGAAAAAUUAAGAUAUGCGGUAAAUUGUAAUACAGGAUUUGAACUAUCGUAAACAAUUAUUUUUAUUUGAAAUAAAUAUGUCAAAAACAUUGCAGAGGGAGCCAUUAUCAUUGAAAUAGUAGACAAAUAAAAUUUGUAAUGGUUUCAAAGUUUUUAAACUACGACUUAUUAAUAUACAGGUUAGUCUUAAAUAAAUGCAAAUAUUUUAGGCAUAGUAUAUUUCGACCUCAGAAACUUUAUACUUAAACUUUUGAAUUUUUUUUAGUUUUUAACUAAAAACAUAAUUUCUUGAUAAUAUCGUAACAUAGGUAGUAGAUUAAAUUUACAAGAAAGAAAACCCAGAAAAGAUCCAGUGGUUUGCAAAAUUUAAACAUUUUUUUAGUUUUUAAAGUAAAUAACUCGGUUAUUUUGGACUUAUUCGAAAACGGUAAAGAGAAAAUAUGUUUAUUUUAUCGAGAUCUACAAUCCCCAAAAUAUUUGUACUUAUUUAAGAUUCAUCUUGUAUAAUAAACAUCUAUAAAAGAACGAAAACGAAAUGAUAUUGCCUUAGAAACGCGUGAAUUUGAUUAUAUUUUCAUAUUUUGCUCUACAAGUGUAUGGAAGUUUGGAAAAGUAAAAUCAAGAGAUUAACUAUAUUACAACAAGCAAAAACCAUUAUGAAGAAUGUAUUUUACUCAAAAAGUUUAUAAUGAAAAAGUUUUUUUCCUUGUAAAGGCAAUCUGUGUAUUCCGGGACAUACUGUGUAUUAAAAAAGGAUCUUAAAUAAAAAUCAGUUCAUUAUGACUUAAUCAGUACAAAUUAACAGAUAUUACUGUUAGUAGAUGUAUUGUAAAUUAUUUCAAUUAUUUUGGCUUAGACUUUAGAGUGUUAUUUGCUUGAGAGAUAGAAACAAAAUAUAAUAUUAUACAUGAAUGUGGAAUUGAUACUUUUCAUAUCAAUUUUUAAGUCCCAUGCCCAGUUUUAAACAAUAAUACUUAAAUAAUUUGUAUACAUUAAGUAAUACAUAGUUAAAAUUAAUUAUCGUUUGAUAUUAUUUAUUGGUAGUGCAAUCUAGGAAGAUAUAUUAAGUGAUAUUCGUUUUAAAGUAAGACCGCCGGUGUAUAAUGAUAGUAAUUCUAUGUUGUAUAUUUUUGUAUAUCCAAAAAUAGCUGUAUAUCCCGUAAAUGUUCCUUAUUUUAAUAAAUAUAUGUUUUAACAA
rnacentral:misc_RNA from 1 species